CAAGAGCCAAUGGGCAGAAAGUGAUGCACAGGAAGUUCCACCUGAACAUGAGGAAGAACUUCUUUACUGUGCAGGUGGCUGAGCUUUGGAA